UAUCCAGCCCUCCAGUGUCUGGGAAAUCUGCUCCUUCAGAAACAGAGAGGCUGUUUACAUGAACUCCAGGGUUUGAUAUUAGAUCCAGAAUAAAUUAUUAAAUUGUUCAUGUGACCUAAAAUUCUACAGAAAACAGGACUGUAAAACUGCCAGAUCUGUCCCUUGAUAGGAAGCAGCUUUAUCUGGUUUUCUGCUUUUUUACAAGCUGUAUGUACAGCUCAUGGCCUUUAAUCUCACUACAGAUUUUGACAUUUUUGAACAUUACAUUGCAGCGCUACAGCAGGGAUGGAAAUAGCAUUACCCGAACCCAGAUUCUUCUGCACUUCGCAAAGUUAUGCACCCUGUUCUACAUUGCUCCAAGUUCAGAAAGGUGGCAACUUUUAUGCCUUUUCGUGCCCUGUAAAGUAUUAAAGGACAGCCAGUGCUGCUUUUGAUAUGAAAACAUAGAGUUAACUGAAAUAUUGAUACAGCUACAUUUCACAGAAGAAUGAAGUAAUCUGAGGUCUUUGGUGCUUGUCAGAUUUGCACCAUUUCAGGACUAAGUGCUAUAAACAUCUGUUUGUGUGAAGGCACACAGUGAGGAUGGGCAUCACUGCAGCUCUUGGAAUACAUAUAUGAGAAAUUAGUUAGUAUUUUACAGUUCUACCUGUUUGUAGCUGCAAGCUAUGCAAUUGCACACAAGGUUUUU